CCUACGGGUGGCAGCAGUAGGGAAUAUUGCUCCAUGGAGGAAACCCUGAAGCAGCAACGCCGCGUGCAGGAUGAAGGUUUUAUGAUUGUUAACUCCUUUUGUUAGAGAGGUUUAUGCCGGUAUCUAACGAAUAAGGACCGGCUAACUCCGUUCCAGCAGCCGCGGUAAUACGGAGGGUGCCAGCGUUAUUCGGAAUCACUGGGCGUAAAGAGUGCGUAGGCGGGGUAAUAAGUCAGAGGUGAAAUCCUGUAGCUUAACGACAGAACUGCAUUUGAAACUGUUACUCUGGAGUGUGGGAGAGGUAGGUGGAAUUCUUGGUGUAGGGGUAAAAUCCGUAGAGAUCAAGAGGAAUACUCAUUGCGAAGGCGACCUGCCGAAACAUUACUGACGCUGAUGCACGAAAGCGUGGGGAGCAAACAGGAUUAGAUACCCCUGUAGUC
rnacentral:rRNA from 1 species